UGCUUUAUUUGGGAGCCAUUGCCUUGAGC
rnacentral:piRNA from 1 species